CUCAGUGCCUACAGAGCAGAAGAUGAUGAAUACAGCAGCUGGAAUAUCAGUGGCCAUGGAAGAAAUGUCAAUCACAGGAUAAAGACCCAUCAGCCCGGAAGGACAAGAAACACAGCCGAUGGGCAUGAGAUGAGGAGAAGGACCCUCACAAUGUGUGGCUGAAAGAGUAAACUACAUGUGACCUACCCAGCUGUCGGGGAAAAACUAAAAACUCUACCAGAAAAAUAGCAUCUGCUCUACCCCGGCCCUCACUAACAGCCAGCUGUUUCCAGUUAUUCUCACCUGCUGGCCAGGUGCUCUCAGGAUGAACUCUCACCGGGGGUGAAGCAAAUAAAGAGCGCCCCAAUGAGCAGACAAGCUGCUGUGGUGCUUUUCUCUUUGCCGCGGGGGCCAUGACCUCCUUCUGCCCAUCUUGCCCCGGCCCUUUUAUUCCCUAGGACUCUCAGGGCUGCUGGCAGUUUCUGUGAACUUUGGAGCUGCCUCUUCUCUCACUCUGCCCGUGAUAACCGUGUUCUCCUGGGUUCUGCUUCCAGGCCUCUGGGUCAUUACCUCCCCAUCCAGUCCAGCUGAUCCUAAUUACGAGGGGAAUAAAGAACUCAGAAGCACACAGGGCAGAGGUCCUGUCCUGGAUCACAUGGCUGGGAAGAAAAUGAGUCAGAAGUAGAUGCCAGAACGCCUUGUCCUAUACGCAGAGAUUCCAUUCACCACAUCAGGAUGACUUCACAUGCUUGAAAUCUUAGAUUGAAACUGCCAAGACCGCAUGUUGAAAGCUUCAUCAUAUAAAGCAUUGCACUGACAAGACUUCCCAAAGACUACAAGAUUUAAUUCCGAGACCUAAUUGGCCAGAAAAGCCCUUAUCGAUAACACAUUCUAUCAACCUUCUUGUCGAUUUGCUCAUUCUUUGUUUUAUGACACAUAGCUUUUUCCUAAUUAAGCCUCCUUUCAGAAUACAGAGGUGAGGAACUACACCCUGAGAAAGCAGAUCCCUUUUUCCUGAGAGCCCCAUGUUCUUAAGGAACUGAGGCAAAGAAGCUGAACAUAAUCCAGUCCUCCUUCUCCAGCUGAGCUUUCAUUUCAUACUUCACUACAGUUGCUCUAAUCCCCACUUUCUCCUUGGGCUGCAGUGUAUGCCAAACACACAGCAUGUUGAAAAUCCCUGCUGAGCCGCUGAGAUGCUACACAGUGCAUGACAGAGUUUGGCAAGCAUGUGUACUAAGAGCGUUUUUUUGAAACAUCUAAAUAAAAUCGAGUCUGUGUUA